rnacentral:rRNA from 1 species
UAGGGGUGCUCUUGAUCGAGUGUCUCUGGAUGCCAGCAGGUUUACUUUGAAAAAAUUAGAGUGCUCAAAGCAGGCUAAAAUGCCUGAAUAUUCGUGCAUGGAAUAAUAGAAUAGGAUGUCGAUCCUAUUUUGUUGGUUUUCGGGACUGACAUAAUGAUAAAUAGGGACAGUCGGGGGCAUUUGUAUUCAAACGACAGAGGUGAAAUUCUUGGACCGUUUGAAGACAAACUACUGCGAAAGCAUUUGCCAAGAAUGUUUUCAUUAAUCAAGAACGAAAGUUAGAGGUUCGAAGGCGAUUAGAUACCGCCCUAGUUCUAACCAUAAACGAUGCCAGCUGGCGAUCUGCCUGCGUUUUUACUGUAGACUGGGC